UACGUAGGAGGCAAGCGUUAUCCGGAAUGACUGGGCGUAAAGGGUGCGUAGGUGGUUUGGCAAGUUAGUAGCGUAACCCCGGGGCUCAACCUCGGAACUACUACUAAAACUGUCGGACUUGAGUGCAGGAGGGGCAAUUGGAAUUCCUAGUGUAGCGGUGGAAUGCGUAGAUAUCACGCAGAACUCCGAUUGCGAAGGCAGCAUACCGGCGCCCAACUGACGCUGAGGCACGAAAGCGUGGGUAUCGAACAGG
rnacentral:rRNA from 1 species